AUUGAACGCUGGCGGCGUGCUUAACACAUGCAAGUCGAUCGGUAACGCGGGGGCAACCCUGGCGACGAGAGGCGGACGGGUGAGGAACGCUUGGGAAUCUGCCUAUCAGCGGGGGACAACACGGGGAAACUCGUGCUAAUACCGCAUACGCUCUACGGAGGAAAGCCGGGGACCGCAAAGCCUGGCACUGAUAGAUGAACCCAAGCCGGAUUAGCUAGUUGGCGGGGUAACGGCCCACCAAGGCGACGAUCCGUAGCUGGUCUGAGAGGACGAUCAGCCACACUGGAACUGAGACACGGUCCAGACUCCUACGGGAGGCAGCAGUGGGGAAUAUUGGACAAUGGGGGAAACCCUGAUCCAGCGACGCCGCGUGGGUGAAGAAGGCCUGCGGGUUGUAAAGCCCUUUCGGUAGGGACGAAAGCUCUCGACCUAACACGUCGGGAGGUUGACUUAACCUACAAAAGAAGCACCGGCUAACUCUGUGCCAGCCGCCGCAGUAAAAC
rnacentral:rRNA from 1 species